rfam:Sorghum bicolor cultivar BTx623 chromosome 2, whole genome shotgun sequence.
AUUCCAUGAUGGGGCAUUCUAGGAUGUAGUCUUGAAAGCGCUCCCAUGCUUCUGGAACAGAUUCAUCAUUUUGUUGCUGAAAACUUGUAAUCUUCCCACGGAGAGU